rnacentral:tRNA from 1 species
GGAGAGAUGGCCGAGUGGUCUAAGGCGCACGCCUGGAAAGUGUGUGUAUCGCAAGGUACCGUGGGUUCAAAUCCCACUCUCUCCG